UACGGAGAGUGCGAGCGUUGUCCGGAAUCACUGGGCUUAAAGCGUGUGUAGGCGGACUUCUAAGUACCUUGUGAAAUCCCACGGCUCACCCGUGGAACUGCUUGGUAUACUGGUUGUCUUGAGCCUUCUAGGGGCGAGUGGAACAAAUGGUGGAGCGGUGAAAUGCGUAGAUAUCAUUUGGAACGCCAAUGGUGAAAACAACUCGCUGGGGAAGUGCUGACGCUGAGACACGAAAGCCAGGGGAGCGAACGGG
rnacentral:rRNA from 1 species